UGCUUUGUUAUGGACACAAGAUAACUCGGUGCAGAUUGGUUAGUCACCAUGCCGAGAUUAUAUGAACGUUGAGUAUUGACAUAGAAGGAUACUUUUGUGUAGGUACUUUUGGUAUAUUGUGAGAUAUAUCAAGUAGACGGAAACUGUCAAUAACAAAUAUAAGUGCAAAACAUUAUCGCAGCAAAAAGUAGAUUUCAGGACGUUGGUAUAAUAGACGCUCACUCGGUGAGAAGAAUCUUGAGGCUUGCUAGGUGGAACUGUGCAAGAUUGUAGAGAAAAUCCAAAUAAGCCAAUUGUGUCGUUGAUACGCAGAAAUGUGUGUAUAAGCCCUGUUUAUCGUCCGAGUAGCCCAAAUCGACAUUAAAAUAAAACACAUAUAAUAGAAGAAUUUAUAAACAAAAAAUCUUUUCUGAAUGACAUGGGUGAAAGAUAGAGGUAAUCAGUCCUCUUUAUUCUUGAUGCUUAAUGCAUUGCUAUAGAAGUAAUGAGGUAGCUCCUUAUUGCUCAGACUAUAGCAGAUAAUGACUGAAUAUUGGUACGAUUUUGUGUUUGUAAGGCGAAGGUCUGUUUUGUGUUCAUUAUAAAG
rnacentral:ncRNA from 1 species